AUACUUACCUGGCAGGGGAGAUACCAUGAUCACGAAGGUGGUUUUCCCAGAGCGAGGCGUAUCCAUUGCACUCCGGAUGUGCUGACCCCUGCGAUUUCCCCAAAUGCGGGAAACUCGACUGCAUAAUUUGUGGUAGUGGGGGACUGCGUUUGCGCUCUCCCCUU
rnacentral:snRNA from 1 species